rnacentral:rRNA from 1 species
AUUGAACGCUGGCGGCAGGCUUAACACAUGCAAGUCGAGCGGGUGGAGGGAGCUUGAGUCUGGAUUGAGCGGGGGACGGGUGAGUAAUGCCUAGGAAUAUGGCUGGAAGAGGGGGAUAACGUCGGGAAAAGGGCGCUAAUAGCGCAUCAGUCCUGAGAGAGCACGUGGGGGGUGUUCGGAGCCUGCGCUACCAGAUGAGCCGAGGUCGGGUUAGCUAGUGGGUGGUGUAAAGGUCGGCCAAGGCGACGAUCAGUAACUGGUCAGAGGGGAUAAUACGUCCCACUGGAACUGGAACACGAUCCACACUCCUACGGGAAGCAGCAGUGGAGAAUAUUGGACAGUGGGCGAAGGCCUGAUCCAGCCAUGCCGCAUGUGUGGAGAAGGUCUUCCGAUUGUAAAGCACUUUAAGUUCGGAGGAUGGGCAGUAAUUUAAUACCUUGCUGUUUUGACGGUACCUACAGAAUAAGCAGCGGCUAACUUCGUG